GGAAGCGCGGUCUUCAAAGCCGGCAGGCAAGUCUCUUUGGUGUGGAUUCGAAUC
rnacentral:tRNA from 15 species